CAUAUUAUAUUAAAUAUGUGCAUUAGUUAUAAAAUUCUUUUAAUUAUUUAUUGUGAUUAUUUUGUUCAGAUAAUAUUAUUUCAGCAAAAGUCUGUAUAAGAGAUACAGAGCUGCGAUUUAAUAUUCAAUCAUGAAUCAAACCAAUAAUUAAAUUAUUGGUUUAGCUACACAUUGAAACUCUGCAUUACCAGUUGAUUGAUUCAAUAGUAUUAGAAAUUUUAGAUUUAUAAUCGAUUUCAUAAAUCGUGUUAUUUAAAUCGAAUUGUUAGAAUUAUAACUUGAGCGUAUGUGAAUAAUAAUUUUAUUAUUACAUGAUAUGUGUGUUUAGUAUUAAGUCGUGAAUUAAUUCCGACUUUCACGUAUUAAAUCCCAAGAUUGAGGAUUUAAUUUAUAUAAAUACGACAAGUAUUUAAUUAGCAGGAAUUGGAAAAUUAUUACAGAAACGAAUAAGAACUAGGAGAAACUAGAUCACGGAAAAUCAAAAUCCUACUAUACGUAUGUCUCGAUUUUUCAUCCAACACAUCAAUUCCUACACUAUUCCACCUUCUCCUUCAACGCAACAUCAUACUGCAACAAGUUUUUCAAGGUCUCAAUAUCUUCCAUUGUUAGUCAAAAAGUUGCAGGCAGAGGCUUCAACUAUUGUGGCUAAAGUGUCAAAAGAUACUGCCAUUAUUUUCAACUACAUUGUCAAAAGUUGCUGCUAAGUUUUCAACUCUUACGGCUCAGUUUCCCUAUAAAUGGAGCCUUGCAGCAACACAACUAAUACACCAAACCAAAGAAAAAAAUUCAUCUGCAAUCUAGAGAGAGAAAGUAGGAGAUUGUUGGUCAAAAAAAAAAGGGUGGCAACCACCAAGUCAAAAAGGGGUGGCUUCAAACAACUUUCCUCCAUCAAAUGUUCAAGCAUUGCGGAUGACAAUUCCAACUUUGCUACAACUAUCUUUUCAUAUCUUUGCCUAUAAAUAGCAGCAGUAUGUAAAUCAUACUACACCAAACCAAAGCAGAAAAUAUUCAUCUGCAAUCUAGAGAGAGAGAGGAGCAGGUGAAGGGUUGAGAGAGAAGGUGAAUAGUAAAGUUACUGUUCAAGUGAAUAGUGACAGUCGCGAAUAGUGAAAUUCGUGAAUAGUGAAAAUUAGAUAGUAAUUUUCACGGGGUAUAACGGGUUGUGAGUUGAGUGUUGUGAGUGUUGUAAACACUGUGCAUUUUUCUCCCUUUAAAUAUAUCUGCAGCAGCUCCGGAGACGUAGGCAUAAUUGGCCGAACUCCGUUAUCAAAUUUGUGUCCUUAUUUUUCCGCAUUUAUUUCGCUCUCGCAUAUCUGGUUAGAGGGAAAUCGCAUAUAAUUUCCCAACAUCCAUGCAAUCCAAAAAGCCAAGAUAUGAGGAAAAGAAGAUCACGAAAGAAACAAAAUUUUCAAAGAUUGCAUGCUCAACCUUCCCCUCCAAUUCAAGAUUUCUGACUUCAAAGAUUUGCAGAUUUCUAGCAAAUCUUAUUUUUUUUCAAAAGUGUAGAUUUGCAGCUGACUUUCCUUCCAACUCCCUACACAAAUUUCAACCUUCAUAAUUUCCAUUGUCUACGGAAUCCACUUAUAAAUACAUAGCAUAUCAGUUAACACACAGCUCACUCCACUAGCAAUAACCACACCCGUGCAGAGGAAGUGAAGCCAACAAGCUUCAAAACAAACUUUGCAUACUUCUUAAGCUCAAGUGAGCUCCCUUCGCCAGGCUAUUUCUUCGCCGACCGGCCACUAGGCUCUGAACCGAGAACGUGUACUCGUUCCUCCAUCUUCAGGCUACCAAACCCAACAAUCGAAAGGCCAAAGCCUUCUCUAUAUUUUCCUGACCAAAGGCCGCAAUAUCCUUCGGAGGCCAACGUCGAAUUCCCGACUUAGCCACCGGCCAACUUACGGCUUUCGUUUCUCACUAUCCUUACGACGAAAAAGGAUUGAGAAAACACCGUUGUGUAGCCUGAUCUACCUCGCACGAGGAAGACUAAGUCGUAGACCUUCGCGGCUAAACACCAUCGCGGAACGACGACCAGAAAACCCCGACGAACAACUUCCAUUAGUGCUCACUUGGACAAGGGUUCAAAUAAACAAAAGCGUCUGAGUAACCUAUCGCGCUAAGGAAAGAGAAUCAUUGUCUUAAGUAGCAAAACACUGCAAUCAGGUGGGCAUUACUUUUACUAUACGUAUAUAGAGAUCCCCUGCGUGUCGUAGGCCUCUUAUACGAAUGAAUGCAUGAGAUGAUUUAACUGUUAAUUUCAGUUUUAUAUAUCUAUCAAACGAAUUUAAUGUUACAUUUAAACAAGAUAUUUCAUUACAAAAUCAUUGAACUGAAAAUUAUUUCAAUUGUUGUCUUGCCAUAAAUGUUUAAAUUUUAGUAUGAUAUCUAUCUGCUUUGGCUUUGCCAAUGAUGCAAUCGAAUUCGGGUCCUGAGCAGUUGAUAGCUAUCCUGCCAGGACUAGUGUACACCAGUGACCGUGAGUCAUCUAGCGGGUUGGCCGGUCAAGUGACCGUGAGAGGUGGCCACCUCUCCGGCACACAGUUUCAGAUAUGAUAGAUUACAAAAGAACUUAGUCUGAUCAGACGAACUUUAAGAAUCACAAAUGAACUUAGUAAGCUUGGGCCUUUUUAGCGAAAAACUCCCUUGCUGUACUGUUUGUGAUGGCAUGACAAUUUACAGUUUUAGAGCAUGUAUUUUUAUACCUAGGCAUACGUGCCCACUGAGUGCUUUUGUACUCAGCCCUGCAUAUGUUUUCUAAAUGUGCAGGUUGAGCUGAUGUGAUGAUGGUGCUGCAAUGAGCGGAGUCUCCAGGGUUGUUAAUAAAUAGUUAACCUGUCUAGAAUAUGUCUUCAUACAUAUGUCUAGCUACUUUCCGCUGCAAGAUGUUGUUGAUGUUAUAGUAUGUUAUGUCAUACUUUGAGUCUUAAGAGAAUGGUUUCAUAUGAUGUAUAACUUGAUUAAUGAUAUUAAUUAAGUUUUAUGCUGUCUUUCAUAGACUAUUUUCAAUUGAGUAUUCAUGAAUAAAAAUGACGAGUUUUAUUAA